rnacentral:lncRNA from 1 species
AAGAGAGGGAGAGAGAAAGAGAAAAAGGAGGAAGAACCAGAAUAAACAGAGGAAAGAGAUAACAGACUUAAUUAUAUGCAUAAUAGUGAGAUGUUGGUGGCAGCAGCUGGUGCCCUCUCUUCACCUUCCUACAGCUAUAAGGUGACGUCAAAAGGGAAGUGAGUGGUGGGUUUGAGAUGCGUGUUGUGCUUUUGUACUUCUUAACUAAAAAAAAAUCAUAUGCAUGUAGAACUAUUAAAAACCACACUUGAAAAAA